rnacentral:rRNA from 1 species
CAUGUCUAGCUGGUCUAGAGAUGAUCAGCCACACUGGAACUGAGACACGGUCCAGACUCCUACGGGAGGCAGCAGUGGGGAAUAUUGCGCAAUGGGGNAAACCCUGAGCCAGCAACGCGUGAGUGAGGAAGGCUCUAGGGUCGUAAAGCUCUGUCAGAUGGGAAGAAACUACAGUUGGUCUAAUAGGCCAUUGUACUGACGU